rnacentral:rRNA from 1 species
AGAACGAACGCUGGUGGCAGGCCUCAAACAUGCAAGUCUAGGGGGCGUAGCAAUACGUCACCGGCGGACGGGUGCGUAACACGUGGGAAUGUACUUAUUGGUUCGGAACAACUCAGGGAAACUUGAGCUAAUACCGAAUGUGCCCGAAAGGGGAAAGAUUUAUCGCCAAUAAAUCAGCCCGCGUCCGAUUAGCUAGUUGGUGAGGUAAAGGCUCACCAAGGCGACGAUCGGUAGCUGUUCUGAGAGGAAGAUCAGCCACACUGGGACUGAGACACGGCCCAGACUCCUACGGGAGGCAGCAGUUGGGAAUCUUGGACAAUGGGGGAAACCCUGAUCCAGCCAUGCCGCGUGAGUGAUGAAGGCCUUCGGGUUGUAAAACUCUUUCGACGGGGACGAUAAUGACGGUACCCGUAGAAGAAGCUCCGGCUAACUUCGCGCCAGCAGCCGC